AACACAAGUCAAGUUAAAACAUGAGGGUGGUUUGUGACUUUGUUCAUCGUAGACAAGUAGCUAGUACAAAAGUUGUUUCAAGUUUUUAAUAGAGGCAGAUCUUAGCAUAAACACAUGGCGAGUUGUUAUAUCGAUUCUACCGUAAAAGGAUAGCUUACCGCAUUGAAGUCUUCAGCCAAGAGCAGCAGAAGCAUAUUCGUUAGCUUAGCUGACUAGCAACUGUAGCAUCACACUAGUGCAAAUGUCUAGCUACGACUGACAGCCAUACAGCUGGUGGAUAACAUUACUCGCCCUAGACCUCACAUGCGUCAGUGCUUAUUCCGCGUUCAAAACAACUAGGACUUGGAACCAGUGGUGCGUUCAAGAUAACUGGAAAAAAACGCGGCAAAUCCAAAUUCCAAGUUGGUGAAUGCAUGGGGCGGCAGGUAGCCUGGUGGUCAGAGCGUUGGAACAGUACGUUAAUCGAACGAUUUCUAACGUAAAAAUCUGUCGUUCUGCCUCUCAUUGUAAAUAACAAUUUACAAUUUAUGAAUUUGUUUUUAAAGUACUUGCCUAAUUACAUAAAGGGGGGGGGUGAAAUGUAUACAUAGUCUGAGCAAGGGAACGUGACCAUUGAGGGGAUUCAAUUAAUCUGGCCUGGAUAGGGGUUUCGCACCGGGUGGCAUUUGGUUGCAUUGUCUUUAGAACCGUUAAAUUAUAUCACAAAUGGGAUAUACACGGAGAAUGACUGUGUUUUUACAAACAAUAGUGAUUUCCUUUUGCUAAAAACGCGUUAUCUGCCUUCCGAAUGAAAACGAAUUUGAAUAUUCAAAUAUCUAUUUUAUGGAAAAGAGAAUGUGUAUGUUUCUGGACGAUGUACCAUGCUUCCUUGUCGACAACACAACCGGGAGGCGCAGAUUACGUUUCGAUUUGAGAAAGUAUGCAACUCCCAGGCCACAGACCGGUUCCUGGCUGAGAAUAAUCAAAUCCCCCCGCCGUUACACAGAUUUUUUUUUUUUUACUUUAUUUAACCAGGUAGGCUAGUGGAGAACACAUUCUCAUUUACAACCGCGACCUGGCCAAGAUAAAGCAAAGCAGUGCGACACAAACAACAACACAGUUGCACAUGGAAUAAACAAGCGUUCAGUCAAUAACACAAUAGAAAAGGAGGAAAAAGUCUAUAUACAGUGUGUGCAAAUGACGUGUGGAGGUAAGGCAAUAAAUAGGCCAUAGUAGCGGAGUAAUUACAAUUUAGCCAAUUAACACUGGAGUGAUUGAGUGUAACGGAUGUCAAACGGCUAGCGAGUUGACGGUGGUGCGCGCUAAAUAGCGUUCAAUCGGUGACGUAACUUGCUCAGACCUUGAAGUAGUGGUUCCCCUUACUGUGCAAGGGCCGUGGCUUUUGUGGAGCGAUGGGUAACGAUGCUUCAUGGGUGACUGUUGUGUGCAGAGGGUCUUUGGUUUGAGCCGGGGUAUGGGCGAGGGGACGGUCUAAAGUUAUACGGUUACAUGAGCAGAUGAUGAUGUGCAAGUAGAAAUACUGGUGUGCAAAAGAGCAGAAAAGUAAAUAAAAACAAUAUGGGGAUGAUGUAGGUAGAUUGGGUGGGCUAUUUACAGAUGGGCUAUGUACAACUGCAGCAAUCAGUUGGCUGAUGUUUAAAGUUAGUGAGGGAAAUAUAAGUCUCCAGCUUCAGCAAUUUUUUUGCAAUUCGUUCCAGUUAUUGGCAGCAGAGUACUGGAAAGGAAAGACGGCCAAAGGAGGUUUUGGCUCUGGGAAUGACCAGUGAGAUAUACCUGCUGGAGCGCUUGCUACGGGUGGGUGUUGUUAUCAUGUCCAGUGAGCUGAGAUAAGGCUGAGCUUUACCUAGCAUUGACUUAUAGAUGACCUGGAGCCAGUGGGUCUGGCGACGAAUAUGUAGCGAGGGCCAGCCGACUAGAGCAUACAGGUCGCAGUGGUGGGUGGUAUAAGGGGCUUUGAUGACAAAACGGAUGGCACUGUGAUAGACUGAAUCUAGUUUGCUGAGUAGAGUGUUGGAAGCUAUUUUGUAAAUGACAUCGCCGAGGUUGAGGAUCAGUAGGAUAGUCAGUUUUACGAGGGUAUGUUUGGCGGCGUGAGUGAAGGAGGCUUUGUUGCGAAAUAGGAAGCCGAUUCUAGAUUUAAUUUUGGAGAUGUUUAAUAUGAGUCUGGAAGGAGAGUUUACAGUCUAGCCAGAAACCUAGGUAUUUGUAGUUGUCCACAUAUUCAUACUCAGAACUGUCCAGAGUAGUGAUGCUCGUCAGGCGAACGGUUGAAAAGCAUGCAUUUGGUUUUACUCGCGUUUAAGAGCAGUUAGAGGCCACAGAAGGAGUGUUGUAUGGCAUUGAAGCUCAUUUGGAGGCUAGUUAACAGUGUCCAAAGAAGGGCCAGAUGUAUACAGAAUGGUGUCGUCUGCGUAGAGGUGGAAUCACCCGCAGCAAGAGAGACAUCGUUGAUAUACAAAGAGAAAAGAGUCGGCCCGAGAAUUGAACCCUAUGGUUCCCCCAUAGACUGCUAGUCAGGACAACAGGCCCUCCGAUUUUACACACUGAACUCUGUCUGAGAAGUAGUUGGUGAACCAGGCGAGGCAGUCAUUUGAGAAACCAAGGCUUUUGAGUCUGCCAAUAAGAAUACGGUGGUCGACAGAGUCGGAAGCCUUGGCCGGGUCGAUGAAGACGGCUGCACAGUACCGUCUUUUAUCGAUGGCGGUUAUAUCAUUUAGUACCUUGAGCGUGGCUGAGGUGCACCUGUGACCAGCUCGGAAACCGGAUUGCACAGUGGAGAAGGUACGGUGGGAUUCGAAAUGGUCAGUGAUCUGUUUAUUAACUUGGCUUUCGAAGACUAGAAUGGCAGGGCAGGAUGGAUAUAGGUCUAUAACAGUUUGGGUCUAGUGUCACCCCCUUUGAAGAGGGGGAUGACCGCGGCAGCUUUCCAAUCUUUAGGGAUCUCGGACAAUACUAAAGAGGUUGAACAAACUGAUAAAUAGGGGUUGCAACAAUGGCGGCAGAUUAUUUUAGAAAGAGAGGGUCCAGAUUGUCUAGCCCAGCUGAAGCUUUUUGUGCAUAUGGAACAAUUCUGCUAUUUCUUUCAUUCUUAUUUCAGCUAAUGAAACCAACACUUUAGAUGUCGCAUUUAUAUUUUCGUUCGGUUUAAAACUUUUGAGUUGAAUAAAACUUAUGGACGAUUUUGUGACACUAAAAUGGUACUUCUUGAUUCAGGUCGCUAGGCCAUGAAACCCCAAAUGAAGCAAGCUAUGCAGUUUUCCCAAAUCACUAACAAGAUCAGAGAAGCCCACAGAAAACUGAUGAUUCUAAAUCACCCCGACAGAGGGUUGAGGAACGAGUAAAACUCUUUCCAAACAAUGAUGUACUUUUAUAUAGUCAUUCAGCUUGUACAAUGUAAUUUGAAUCACAAUUGCAUGUUUUUUUGCAGGUGGAUCACUAAAUCAAUAGUUCACUUUGUACUUGGUUGGGCCCAGGGGUUUUCUUAUUCACCGUACCCAAAUAAAUCAUACAUUAAAAGA